rnacentral:rRNA from 1 species
UACGUAGGGUGCGAGCGUUGUCCGGAAUUAUUGGGCCUAAAGCAUCCGUAGCCGGUUCUACAAGUCUUCCGUUAAAUCCAACUGCUUAACAGGUGGGCUGCGGAAGAUACUAUAGAGCUAGGAGGCGGGAGAGGCAAGCGGUACUCGAUGGGUAGGGGUAAAAUCCGUUGAUCCAUUGAAGACCACCAGUGGCGAAGGCGGCUUGCCAGAACGCGCUCGACGGUGAGGGAUGAAAGCUGGGGGAGCAAACCGG